rnacentral:tRNA from 1 species
GGUGACUCAGUGGUAGAGUGCUUGCCUUGCAUGUAUGAGGCUCUGGGUUCGAUUCCUCAGCACCA